CAAAACCUGAAUGAAAGCCUCCAAAGGAAAAAAAAGUUUCCUGUAUCUCAUUGGAAACAACUUCUGUUGCCCCAUCAGUUGGCCUUUCACACCGCGGCCGAGCUCUGUUGGUCAAAUGCACGAGUGACAGGUGAACGAUUCGCGCCGGGAUUGAGCCUUCUGUUUGUGUCCAUCUCUGUCCUCAGGCUGCAAGAAAGUCUACACCAAGUCGUCCCACCUGAAAGCCCACCUCAGGACUCACACGGGCGAGAAGCCGUACAGGUGCACGUGGGACAGCUGCGACUGGCGUUUCGCUCGUUCGGACGAGCUGACGCGUCACUUCCGGAAGCACACGGGCGCCAAACCCUUCCAGUGCGCCGUCUGCUCGCGCUCCUUCUCCCGAUCCGACCACCUCGCCCUGCACAUGAAGAGACACCAGAACUAGCAGCACGCACACACAAAGCACUCACUCCAUGUCCCACAGCAGCGAUGAUACAAGCUGCCCGAUGACGCCACAGCCGCUCCUGGUGCUGCUAUCCGGGGCUGAAACGGCCCGACGCGCGUGUUGCUCUUAACCCAAAGUGGGACAAAUCUGAGGUUGUAGAAAGUCGUAGAAAGAUAAUGGGCAGAUGAAGUCCCGGCCCCCCUAAUCUGCAUUUAUACUUGAUAUACAUUUUCUUUUGGAUGAAUAGAAGGGAGAAAAUGUUAAAACAAAAAGGAAAACAGUAGCUUAAAAAAUGUGUCUCCAGUGCAAUUGGACUCUGCAAAAAAAAAAAAACUGCAAACCCGUAAGUCCCUCUAACAUAGAACUGGCUUUGUUUUAGUAUAUUUUUCUUAUAAAGGAGAAGCUUUUGUUUGCAAAACUAGUCAAGCCAAAUCUUUGUUUAACUCCUUGGUUUGUUCAUAUAACUGGAAUAUCCAGGUUUUUUUUUUAACCAAAUCCUUUGGUUUGCACUAGAAUUGUUGUAAGUCUGAGCUUCCCGUUCUCGUCUCACUCACCACUGGAACGAUCGUUAUUAUCACUACUGGACUGCCUGGGAACGCCACACAAGUCCUCGCUGUUCAGAUAUUAAAAAUUGAAGGCAUUUAUACUCUGGAGAGAGGGAAGAUAGCGCAGGAAAAGAAAAAAAAAAAACGAGGGAGGGUUUGAGUGGAAGAGAUUUGAGUUUUUAGCGAGAGGACGUCUGAGGAACAGAGGAAGGUGGACGGCUGCUGGAGAGCAGCAAUUAGGUGGUGAAUGAUUCAUGAUGGCUUUGGAUGGAUUUCCACCCUGUGAAGUGUAAUAGAACCAGUAGAGGCGCAGAAUUCCUUCAGUUUAAACAGAAUUGACCGUGUUUCAAUUAUAAUGCUUCGAUUACUUUACAUCCAUCUCAUCCAGAUUUGUUUUAUGUUUAUUGUGUUCAAAAUGUUUUAACCAAAGCAGCAUCUUCCUCACAAAAACCUUAUUAAGUGCCUCCUUCUAUGAUUCACGUGGUUUUGUGGUAGCAGAGCUGUGAUCAAUUUAGUCCUUUUUUUAAAACACACAUGGUGCUGUUUUUUAUUUCCUAAUCUAUUGAAAUUUUUAUUUCGAUUUCUUGUUUUAAAUGACAAGGUUUACCCAUCAUUCAUUGUGAUUAUUCAUUUUGUGGGACUCUCUGUGGGGGCUUUCACUCUGUGACACAACUAACUUACAAUGGGGCUCAAUCAGUCAGUCAAACAUGGACGUAUAUUUUAUGAAAGGAUAAGAUCACAUUUUUCCAAGUCUUUCUUAAAAGAACAUUCCCACAUGGGCAUUGCAAGUUAUUUGUUGCUGCAAGUGUUCCUCAAGAUCCUUGUUUGACAUUUGACGAGGAUUCGAAGGUGUCAUAAGUCUGUAAUCCAUAAAAGUAGUAUUUAAUCAUUUAAAAAGGUAUGCAUUGUCAAAGAUUUGACUAAAAUGUUAUUUGACAGCAGAUUUGUCUUAUAUCUUGUUAUUGGAUAUUUAACCAAUAAUUUGACGAAUAAUAGUUUUUUUUUCUUUUGUAGAGGCUAAAUAUCAAGUUGUACUUCUUUUACUCUGUUAACUGGCGGAUUACAGCCAAAGCGAGUACACAACUACUGCUGUUUAUUCUCUCCAGACCAGUUGACAGAAACGCGCCUCAUUUGCAUAUCUGUUUUGCAACAUUUCAAAAAAGCAAAAAAUUUGCUUGGCAGUUGCGUGGAAACACGACUGUGUUGAUGUUGAGCUGUUGUGUGUGUUUGUGAAAGCACAAUGAGGGUGUUCAAUUUACUAAAGAGUCAAGACUGACUUUGCAAAGUAAUAAUUUGAGUUUAGUUUAACUAAGAUUCUGCACAACAUCGCCAACGGAUCUCGUCACAAUGAUAUUAGACAUGAGGAACAGUCGCAUCAAUCAAAAGCUCCGCAUGAGAAGAAUGUUUCAGGACACACUUGAGAAAAAUUCCACAUUGUCCUUUUUGAUAUACAUAUAUAUUUGAAUGUCCAUUUUGAUGGUUUGGUUUGGCCUGCACAUAUAACUGUAUUUGUUCCUUCACUGCAGGUAGCAUAAAGAUAAUAUAUCACUGUAAUGUAUCAUGGUAAAUCUGACUAUUUAUUUGAUUGUGUAGAAGUGGGGGUUGUUAGAACAGCCGCCGUUCUCCCCAGCAAAAAUGCCUUAAUGUAAAUAUAUGCACUGUAAAUACCCCCUUCCCUGCCACCCACACCCUCUCUUUUGUUAUUGUUUUGUAAACAAAAGGGCAAAACGAUAAAAAUGCUCUGCAUCCAAAAAAUAUUUGAGCCUUUUUUUCCUUUUUGGUUAUGUUUUCUUGAUGCCAUUGUUUUUAUAUACUGUCCUUCCAACUUAUUUUGUAGAUUUGUUCUUUCUUCCUAGUUAAACGUUCCAAAGACAAAAGUUGUUUUCUCUUCAACUGAGUGAAACCGAUCCCAAUAAAGUCAACUGACACUUUUACAGAUGCGCUCUUGUGCUGAA
ensembl:lncRNA